UGUACUCCCUGGAGGUGAUAGCCCCAGAAUAAAAGCAUGUACUUUAGGAAGAUGAGAUGAAAUUUCUUAAUGGUGAAUCUGUGGAAUUAAUUACCACAGAAGACUGUGGAGGUCAAGUUAAUGGAUAUUUUUAAG